GUCCACGUGGAGAAACGGCAGACUUGCCACCUUGAGAUGGUGGUGCUCGUAAAGACGUGUGGGUUCAAAUCCCACCGUGGUCA
rnacentral:tRNA from 2 species